rnacentral:rRNA from 1 species
GACGAACGCUGGCGGCGUGCUUAACACAUGCAAGUCGAGCGGUAAGGCCCUUUCGGGGGUACGACGAGCGGCGAACGGGUGAGUAACACGUGGGUGACCUGCCCUCAGCUCUGGGAUAAGCCUGGGAAACCGGGUCUAAUACCGGAUAUGACUCCAUGACGCAUGUUGUGGGGUGGAAAGCCUUGUGCGGCUGAGGAUGGGCCCGCGGCCUAUCAGCUUGUUGGAGGGGUGAUGGCCUACCAAGGCGACGACGGGUAGCCGGCCUGAGAGGGCGACCGGCCACACUGGGACUGAGACACGGCCCAGACUCCUACGGGAGGCAGCAGUGGGGAAUCUUGCGCAAUGGGCGAAAGCCUGACGCAGCGACGCCGCGUGAGGGAUGACGGCCU